UACGUAGGGGGGCAAGCGUUGUCCGGAAUCAUUGGGCGUAAAGCGCGUGUAGGCGGCUCGAUAAGUCUGCUGUGAAAGUCCAGGGCUCAACCCUGGAAUGCCGGUGGAAACUGUCGAGCUAGAGUCCGGAAGAGGCGAGUGGAAUUCCUGGUGUAGCGGUGAAAUGCGCAGAUAUCAGGAGGAACACCAAUGGCGAAGGCAGCUCGCUGGGACGGUACUGACGCUGGAGACGCGAAAGCGUGGGGAGCAA
rnacentral:rRNA from 1 species